UACGUAGGGUGCAAGCGUUGUCCGGAAUUAUUGGGCGUAAAGAGCUCGUAGGCGGUCUGUCGCGUCGGCUGUGAAAACCCGGGGCUCAACCCCGGGCCUGCAGUCGAUACGGGCAGACUAGAGUGCGGUAGGGGAGACUGGAAUUCCUGGUGUAGCGGUGAAAUGCGCAGAUAUCAGGAGGAACACCGGUGGCGAAGGCGGGUCUCUGGGCCGUAACUGACGCUGAGGCGCGAAAGCGUGGGGAGCAAACAGG
rnacentral:rRNA from 1 species